rnacentral:rRNA from 1 species
GAAGGGUGCUCAGCGCCCGAUUGAAAAAAUUUGUUGUUAAAACUACCUUGUUGCUUUGGCGGGACCGGUCGGUCUCGAGCCGCUGGGGAUUCGUCCCAGGCGAGCGCCCGCCAGAGUUAAACCAAACUCUUGUUAUUAAACCGGUCGUCUGAGUUAAAAUUUUGAAUAAAUCAAAACUUUCAACAACGGAUCUCUUGGUUCUCGCAUCGAUGAAGAACGCAGCGAAAUGCGAUAAGUAAUGUGAAUUGCAGAAUUCAGUGAAUCAUCGAAUCUUUGAACGCACAUUGCGCCCCUUGGUAUUCCGAGGGGCAUGCCUGUUCGAGCGUCAUUACACCACUCAAGCUAUGCUUGGUAUUGGGUGCCGUCCUUAGUUGGGCGCGCCUUAAAGACCUCGGCGAGGCCUCACCGGCUUUAGGCGUAGUAGAAUUUAUUCGAACGUCUGUCAAAGGAGAGGACUUCUGCCGACUGAAACCUUUAUUUUUCUAGGUUGACCUCGGGAUCAGGUAGGGAUACCCGCUG